ACUAUUUUGGCAGAAAAAUAUAGUGCAAUAGAUUUAGAAUCUAUUAAUGUGAUAAUGGAAAUCGCAGAUAGUA
rnacentral:tRNA from 1 species